rnacentral:rRNA from 1 species
UACGUAGGUGGCAAGCGUUGUCCGGAAUUAUUGGGCGUAAAGCGCGCACAGGCGGCCUUUUAAGUCUGAUGUGAAAGCCCCCGGCUCAACCGGGGAGGGUCAUUGGAAACUGGAAGGCUUGAGUGCAGAAGAGAAGAGCGGAAUUCCACGUGUAGCGGUGAAAUGCGUAGAGAUGUGGAGGAACACCAGUGGCGAAGGCGGCUCUUUGGUCUGUAACUGACGCUGAGGCGCGAAAGCGUGGGGAGCAAACAGG